UCCAUCUUACAAUUGAAUGCAAGUAGGUUGCAAGGUUGAUGGAAAGUAGAAAAGUUUCCUGACUUGCGUGAACAGAAAAGAAACAUCAAUUUGAAAGGAAACCAUUUAUUUAUUUACUUCCUCUACAGUUUUCCUGACUGCUACAUUUCAUAAGAAGGGAUUGUUUAUGAGGGUCAAGGAGCUGGAGGCCUGGGGAGGAGCUGGUGUUUCUGUUCAAGUUUGAGGGUCCUGGAGCUGGAGCCCAGGGGAGGAGCCAGUGCUGCCACUGAUGUCUUAGGGUCGUGGAGCUGAAGAUCCCAGAGGAGCCGGUGCUGCUAUUCUAGCUUGAGUUUCGUGGAGCUGGAGACCCAGGGAGAAGAUGGUGCUGCUGUUCUAAUUUAAGGAUCGUGAAACAGAAGACCCAGAAAGGAGCUGGUGCUGCCGCUGCUCAGAUCUGAGGGUGUUGGAGCUGGAGCCUGGGGGUGGAGCCAUUGCUGCCAUUGAAGUGUGAGAGUCAUUGAGCUGGAAGUCCAGGAAGCAGCUGGUGCUGCUGUUCUAGUUUGAGGGUUGUGGAGUGCAGACCCAGGCAGGAGCAACAUUGCUGUAGUUCGAGGGUCAGAAAGCUGGCGACCCAGGGAGGAGAGGUCUUGUUCUAGUUUGAUUUUCGUGGAGCUGCAGACCCAGGCAGGAGCAAUGUUGCUGUAGUUCGAGGGUCCGGUAGCUGGCAACCCGGGGAGGAGAAGUCUUGUUCGAGUUUGAGGGUCGUGGAGCUGCCGACCCAGGGAGGAGCAAUUUGGUUGUAAUUUGAGGGUCCAGAAGCUGGAGACCCAGGGAGGAGAGAGAUCUUGUUCUGGUCUGAGGGUUGUGGAGCCACAGACCCAGGGAGGAGCAAUUUUGUUGUAAUUUGAGGGUCAGGAAGCUGGCGACCCAGGGAGGAGAGGUCUUGUUCUAGUUUGAGGGUCGUGGAGCUGCCGACCCAGGGAGGAGCAAUUUUGUUGUAAUUCGAGGAUCAGGAAGCUGGCGACCCAGUGGAGGAGAGGUCUUGUUCUGGUCUGAGGGUCAUGGAGCUGCAGACCCAGGGAGGAGCAAUGUUGUUGUAAUUCGAGGGUGUGGUAGCUGGCAACCUGGGGAGGAGAAGUCUUGUUCGAGUUUGAGGCUCGUGGAGCUGCCGACCAGGGAGGAGCAAUUUUGUUGCAGUUCGAGGGUCAGGAAGCUGGCGACCCAGGGAGGAGAGGUCUUGUUCUGGUCUGAGGGUCGUGGAGCUGCAGACCCAGGGAGGAGCAAUUUUGUUGUAAUUCAAGGGUCCAGUAGCUGGCAACCCAGGGAAGAGAAGUGUUGUUGGAGUUUGAGGGUCGUGGAGCUGCCGACCCAGGGAGGAGCAAUUUGGUUGUAAUUCGAGGGUCAGGAAGCUGGCGACCCAGGGGAGGAGAGGUCUUCUUCUGGUCUGAGGGUCGUGGAGCUGCAGACCCACUGAGGAGCAAUGUUGUUGUAAUUCGAGGGUCUGGUAGCUGGCAACCUCGGGAGGAGAAGUCUUGUUCGAGUUUGAGGCUGCUGGAGCUGCUGAUCAGGGAGGAGCAAUUUGGUUGUAAUUCGAGGGACAGGAAGCUGGCGACCCAGGGGAGGAGAGGUCUUGUUCUGGUAUGAGGGUCGUGGAGCUGCAGACCCAGGGAGGAGCAAUGUUGUUGUAAUUCGAGGGUCUGGUAGCUGGCAACCUGGGAAGGAGAAGUCUUGUUCGAGUUUGAGGCUGGUGGAGCUGCUGAUCAGGGAGGAGCAAUUUUGUUGUAGUUCGAGGGUCAGGAAGCUGGUGACCCAGGGAGGAGAGGUCUUGUUUUAGUUUGAGGGUGGUGGAGCUGCAGACCCAGGGAGGAGGAAUUUGGUUGUAAUUCGAGGGUCUGGAAGCUGGAGACCCAGGGAGGAGAGGUCUUGUUCUGGUUUGAGGGUCAUGGAGCUGCCGAACCAGGGAGGAGCAAUUUGGUUGUAAUUGGAGGGUCCGGAAGCUGGUGUCCCAGGGAGGAGAGGUCUUGUUUUAGUUUGAGGGUUGCGGAACUGCAGACCCAGGCAGGAGCUAUGUUGUUGUAAUUCAAGGGUCCGGAAGCUGGCGACCCAGGGAGGAGAGGUCUUGUUCUAGUUUGAGGGUCGUAGAGCUGCCGACCCAGGGAGGAGCAAUUUGGUUGUAAUUCGAGGGUCAGGAAGCUGGCGACGCAGGGAGGAGAGGUCUUGUUCUGGUAUGAGGGUCGUGGAGCUGCAGACCCAGGGAGGAGCAAUUUUGUUGUAAUUCAAGGGUCCGGUAGCUGGCAACCCGGGUAGGAGAAGUCUUGUUCGAGUUUGAGGGUCGUGGAGCUGCCGACCCAGGGAGGAGCAAUUUGGUUGUAAUUCGAGGGUCAGGAAGCUGGCGACCCAGGGAGGAGAGGUCUUCUUCUGGUCUGAGGGUCAUGGAGCUGCAGACCCAGGGAGGAGCAAUAUUGUUGUAAUUCGAGGGUCUGGUAGCUGGCAACCUGGGAAGGAGAAGUCUUGUUCGAGUUUGAGGCUGGUGGAGCUGCUGAUCAGGGAGGAGCAAUUUUGUUGUAGUUCGAGGGUCAGGAAGCUGGUGACCCAGGGAGGAGAGGUCUUCUUUUAGUUUGAGGGUGGUGGAGCUGCAGACCCAGGGAGGAGCAAUUUGGUUGUAAUUCGAGGGUCUGGAAGCUGGAGACCCAGGGAGGAGAGGUCUUGUUCUAGUUUGAGGGUCGUGGAGCUGCCGAACUAGGGAGGAGCAAUGCUGUUGUAAUUCGAGGGUCCGGAAGCUGGCUACCCAGGGAGGAGAGGUCUUGUUCUAGUUUGAGGGUCGUGGAGCUGCCGAACCAGGGAGGCGCAAUUUGGUUGUAAUUGGGGGGUCCGGAAGCUGGUGACCAAGGGAAGAGAUGUCUUCUUCUGGUCUGAGGGUCGUGGAGCUACAUACCCAGGGAGGAGCAAUGUUGUUGUAAUUCGAGGGUGUGGUAGCUGGCAACCUGGGGAGGAGAAGUCUUGUUCGAGUUUGAGGCUCGUGGAGGUGCCGACCAGGGAGGAGCAAUUUUGUUGUAAUUCGUGCGUCAGGAAUCUGGCGACCCAGGGAGGAGAGGUCUUGUUUUAGUUUGAGGGUUGUGGAACUGCAGACCCAGGCAGGAGCAAUGUUGUUGUAAUUCUGGGGUCCGGAAGCUGGUGACCCAGGGAGGAGAGGUCUUGUUCUAGUUUGAGGGUCGUAGAGCUGCAGACCCAGGGAGGAGCAAUUCUGUUGUAAUUCGAGGGUCUGGAAGCUGGAGACCCAGGGAGGAGAGGUCUUGUUGUAGUUUGAGGGUCGUGGAGCUGCCGAACCAGAGAGGAGCAAUGUUGUUGUAAUUGGAGGGUCCGAAAGCUGGCGACCCAGGGAGGAGAGGUCUUGUUCUGGUGUGAGGGUCGUGGAGCUGCAGACCCAGGGAGGAGCAAUUUUGUUGUAAUUCAAGGGUCCGGUAGCUGGCAACCCAGGGAAGAGAAGUGUUGUUGGAGUUUGAGGGUCGUGGAGCUGCCGACCCAGGGAGGAGCAAUUUGGUUGUAAUUCGAGGGUCAGGAAGCUGGCGACCCAGGGGAGGAGAGGUCUUCUUCUGGUCUGAGGGUCGUGGAGCUGCAGACCCAGGGAGGAGCAAUGUUGUUGUAAUUCGAGGGUCUGGUAGCUGGCAACCUGGGAAGGAGAAGUCUUGUUCGAGUUUGAGGCUGUUGGAGCUGCUGAUCAGGGAGGAGCAAUUUUGUUGUAGUUCGAGGGUCAGGAAGCUGGUGACCCAGGGAGGAGAGGUCUUGUUUUAGUUUGAGGGUGGUGGAGCUGCAGACCCAGGGAGGAGCAAUUUGGUUGUCAUUCGAGGGUCUGGAAGCUGGAGACCCAGGGAGGAGAGGUCUUGUUCUAGUUUGAGGGUUCGGAAGCUGGUGACCCAGGGAGGACAGAUCGUGUUCUAGUCUGAGGGUCGUGGAGCUGCAGAUCCAGGGAGGAGCAAUGUUGUUAUUUGAGGGACUGGAAG
rnacentral:lncRNA from 1 species